GGAGGAGCCUCUGGAGAGAUCCGUUAAAUCGGGCGCCGAAGGAGCAAACCCCGUGUUAUCACAGGGUGAAACUCUCAGGCAAAAGGACAGAGGAGAUAUA
rnacentral:ncRNA from 1 species